rnacentral:rRNA from 1 species
UACAACUUUCAGCAACGGAUCUCUUGGCUCUCGCAUCGAUGAAGAACGCAGCGAAAUGCGAUAAGUAAUGUGAAUUGCAGAAUUCAGUGAAUCAUCGAAUCUUUGAACGCACCUUGCGCUCCUUGGUAUUCCGAGGAGCAUGCCUGUUUGAGUGUCAUUAAUAUAUCAACCUCUUCAGCUUUGUUGCAUGUUGAGUGUUGGAUGUGGGGGUAUUUUUGCUGGACUCUAGAAUCUGAGGUCAGCUCCCCUAAAAUGUAUCAGCGAAACAAUUUGUUUACCGCUCAUUGGUGUGAUAACUAUCUACGCUAUUGACGGUGAAAGCACGUUUAGCUCCUAACAGUCCAUUAGCUUGGACAACCUCUUAUUAAUGUGACCUCAAAUCAGGUAGGACUACCCGCUGAACUUAAGCAUAUCAAUAAGCGGAGGAAAAGAAACUAACAAGGAUUCCCCUAGUAACUGCGAGUGAAGCGGGAAAAGCUCAAAUUUAAAAUCUGGCAGUCUUUGGCUGUCCGAGUUGUAAUCUAGAGAAGUGCUAUCCGCGCUGGACCGUGUACAAGUCUCCUGGAAGGGAGCGUCGUAGAGGGUGAGAAUCCCGUCUUUGACACGGACUACCAAUGCUUUUGUGAUGCGCUCUCGAAGAGUCGAGUUGUUUGGGAAUGCAGCUCAAAAUGGGUGGUAAAUUCCAUCUAAAGCUAAAUAUUGGCGAGAGACCGAUAGCGAACAAGUACCGUGAGGGAAAGAUGAAAAGCACUUUGGAAAGAGAGUUAAACAGUACGUGAAAUUGUUGAAAGGGAAACGUUUGAAGUCAGUCGCGUUGGCCGAGACUCAGCCCAGCUCCCGCUCGGUGCACUUCUCGGUCGACGGGUCAGCAUCAAUUUUGACCGCCGGAUAAAGGUUGGGGGAAUGUGGCAUCUUUCGGGAUGUGUUAUAGCCCUCGAUUCGCAUACGGCGAUUGGGAUUGAGGAACUCAGCGCGCCUUUAUGGUCGGGGUAAUCACCCACGUAACGCGCUCAGGAUGCUGGCAUAAUGGCUUUAAUCGACCCGUCUUGAAACACGGACC